ACAAGUGAAGAAGCCAGCCUUGUCUUUGGUUGUAUUUUCAAUGUAUAUUGCCUAUGCUAUGACACUGACACAAAAAGGCUUUCUUGUGUCACUUUCUGUUUUGAUGCAAUGGAUUUGACUGUUUGCGGCCUUUCGGAACUCGAAAUUUGGUCAAAAAUAUAUCCCCUGCCCCCUUAAUAGCAAAACGCAAAAUUUUAAAAUUGUGUAUAUCAUACGAAAAUUGAUACAUGUAUUCCACAAAUGUGUUGCGGUAACAAAUCGAACAUAAUUUUGCAUAUAUCUUUUAACCGCUAUGGUUGAGAUUAUGGAAAACAAAGGGAGGUAAUAAUGUUAAAACCAUUGCUAAUUUUAGGAAAAUUUCACGUGUGCUGGUUUCGCACUGGAAAACAAUGUUUAAACUCAUAUUUGUGUAAUAGCAUCUACAUUUGCACAUUUUCUGAGCUUGAAUACUUAAAUAAGCAAGAUAAGUCUGCAGUUUUGUAGAAAAAGUUGGUAAAAAUAGGAAAAUUAUGCAAAAUAGUGGUUUGUAACAUGCCGCAAACAUAAAUUCUUUUUUUCUUCUUAUUUGAAGUCAUUAUGGCAACAUAUUUCUUCAUGUGACACCUAACCGAUGAAGAAAGACUAAGAUUGAAGCAUUUAUUUGAUAAUAAAUACGAAAUAAUAAGUGAAUGCCACAUCUGGAAGGGGGCGUACACUCCAAGCGUCUAUGGUGUUCUGCGGUGUAGUUUCCGCGGCAAAAGGCUAAGGCUUAAAGCUCACCAUGCACUAUAUUAUCUUGAAAAUAAACAUGCCAUGUCAUCAAAAAUGCAUGUGUCACAUUUAUGCCACAGUAAACUUUGUGUCAACAUCAAGCACUUAAGUUAUGGGCCUCAAAGCAUUAACAAAAGGAAAAUAUGUGCUCAUGAAGGUUCCUUAUGCACUUGAAAAUGUUUCCAAGCUGUGUCUUGUUUACAAUGAUGUUCUCAUAGUCAGAUAUAUUUGCCCACUGUUUCCAAUUGUAGCACUUUGAUUUUCAGACUGUGGUACUGUUUGAUGUGGUCGCAGUUUAAUAGGGAGAACGAGUGGACCCAGAGAACGAUUACACGCAUUCAAGACAUCGUUAGCCACAGAAUCACCCAAUCGCACGACACUUUCCAGGUCAGGGUCUGAAUUCAACGGAAUAGAAUCUUGAACUUGUUUCUCUACACAGGGCACAUGCCUGCAGAAACUUUAUAGUUUGGAAAUACUCCUUUUUUUAAAAGUACACCUUUGUUUUUCCUAGCGUGAUUGUUUUUAUAACUGUGCUGUGAUUUCUUAUGGAGUGAUCUAAUUUUGAAUGGUAUUUUAAUGAAUGAAUAUCAAUAUUUGGUGCAUGUAUUAUGUAAUCAUAUGGGAAUAUACAUCUGUAAGACUGAUUGAUAGUGUCAAUAAUCAUUUUAAACAUUUGACAUAUAACUUGUGUGCUUCUCUACUAAAUAGAGUCAAAUGUUGUGAAUAGGAACACUAUUUUUUUGAUUAUUUCUGUUCUGGUUGUUUCCCUUGAAUUGUGUGAAUUUUUGGAAUUACUAUGAAAUACAAACAAAACACAGGAUACAGUUCAGAAAUGUUGCAUUUAAUUCAUUAAACAUUAUAUUUUAAUAUAACAAAAGCUUUUUGUUUUAUUAUGCAUAUAUUAAAAAACUUAAGGUGGCAGGGGAUAUAUCAGUGAAAGGGGGGUCCAUGAAAAUUACAUAUCUUUAGGGUAGGUGUUACCUAUGGUCUUUAAAAAUCAAUUAGGUAUUUAUAAGAUGUAUUUCUUGUGUUAGGUUGUAGAAAGAAUGUCUCAAAAUUUUGGAAAAAAAAACAUUACAACUAGCCACAGCUCCCUAGCAAGGAAAUUUUGAAUCUUCAAAAAGGAGGUUUUCACUUUUGUCGGAAGUCAAUAUUUCACGCUGCAGAAACAGAACAAAAUUUUGAAGGUAAAUUGUGAAAAAUCUAAACGUAUGGGAGACACUUUUCUAGGCAAAUAAACAAAGCACAGGGAUGAAAUUAGUGAGUAAUGUAGCCAAAACUAGGAUUGCAUUCUGUUUGAAUGUUCUGUGCAUGCCAUGAAAUGGGUCAAAUUUCUCAAUUUUUCAUUAAAAAUGAGGUGGGUGGGGGGAAAGAUCAAGGGCCAUAGUUUCACAAGUGAAGAAGCCAGCCUUGUCUUUGGUUGUAUUUUCAAUGUAUAUUGCCUAUGCUAUGACACUGACACAAAAAGGCUUUCUUGUGUCACUUUCUGUUUUGAUGCAAUGGAUUUGACUGUUUGCGGCCUUUCGGAACUCGAAAUUUGGUCAAAAAUAUAUCCCCUGCCCCCUUACUGCAAUGAAACCAAGCGUUCGAUUGCUUGACGUCACUUCGUGAUCGACAUCGAUGAAACGCUUGCUUAUGCUGUAGAAGUUAUUUUCUGUGCAAAAACAAGCGUCUAUUAAUAACGAAACGAUAACUUGUCAACAAUGAGAAUCAGAUACUUGGCUUAAUAAUUUUCAUUUAAAAUGUCUAAUUUGGAUAUAAUUCGGAAUACAAAACGAAACUUAAAAGGUAAUUUUUUAAAAAACAUUCCAAAGCACAAUGUGGAUUUCAAUAGAAAUACUAUUUCCACCGACAAUCAGGAUUUCCGGUAUGACCACUGUUAUUUUGACGAUUUUUUUAUCGAAUCGUCGGUAAGCGUGACCACAUGUGACAACAGCGAUGCCAGUUGGAAAAUUGGUAGACGAGUCGUUGAACUCGACACAUUGGCCGAACCGCUUUCAGCAUGGAGUGCUUGUCAACUCAAGUGCCAUGAAUUUACUUAACACAGUAGAAAGCAGGGAUUUCGGACUGGCAUGUGUUUUGGACAUACAGUGUAGCAAUUGUGGUGCAAUAAAUAAUGUGGCUACUGGAUGGAAACAUGGCAGAGUUUAUGACAUAAACACAAAGCUUGCAUUGGGUUAAUCAGAAACUGGGUGUUUCACCUGGGACUUUCACAUAAAAAAUGGCCCUUCUCCGUGACCUUCAGCACAAAAAAAGAAAGGCUAUAGCUGUUACUCGUGCAGCAAAACAGCGACGCAUAAGACUCAAAACUAGAACGGCAUUCAAAGGACAUAGUGCAAGAAGUACGAGAGGGUCCAACAUACUGUUCAAACAUAGAGGACCAAGAUGUUGAAGUUACAACUAUACCCCCACCUGUACCCAAGCCUGGUCCGGCAGGGCUAGACACUACUGGGAAGGAAUGUGUUUUCUUUGAUUUGGAAACAAGAGGGUUAGAUAGCUGCAGUGCAUUCAACUGGUCAGUUUUCAACAUCAUGUGAUGCCAGAGAAGAAGUCAUUGAAAGCGUCAGAAAUAACUGGAGUGACAGUUGUUGGCGACUCUGUGAUUGUCAAUGGACAAACAGUAACAGCUGUCCCCAUCAAAUCUGCAUUGACAAGUUUUAUAACAUUCUUACAGAAAUGUUCACCGGUUAUUUUAGUUUGGCAUAAUAUAGAGUCUUUUGAUUGUAAAGUGUUGCUCCAUGCUAUCCAUACUUGUGGAAAAAUGUCUGAGUUUCAGCAAAAUAUUUGUGGCUUUUUAGAUACUUAACAAAUAUGAAAUCAUAUUAGCAGAAAAAUUUAGUUAAAGACGUCAUUGGUGAAUUAUACAUGGCACAUGGCGCUCUACAGGAUGUUUUAGCUUUUCAAAAGUUAGUGAACUCUGUUCCUCUUGACCAAAAUGUUGUUAACAAAUAUUCAUUCAGCUAUGACCGAGCAGUAUUAGCAUACAAUGUGUAACUAAAUGUUGCUUCCAACAUCAAAUCUUUGCAAACCAUGAUUGAUACAAAAGUUAUACGUGUGUAAGUCAAGGUGUUGCAAGGAAAGUUGCAGGAAGUGGAUUGCAACUUAAACAUUUGAGUACUGUAUCAAAAAGAAACGGACUGAGUGGUUUGAGGAGCCCCCUGUCAGAGGUUACACACAGACAAAUCAGAGUAACAAAAUCAGAGAAAAAAAUAUGAGCAAUAGCGAGUUAUUUGUUGCCUGACAUAUAAACAAUUGUAAUUUUCAUCUUGUAUAUAGAUUAGCUAUGAAAUCUAAUAGCUGUUACAUAAAAAAUUUUCCUUCUCGAUGACAAACAUAGUUGUGAUUCUUAUGUCAGUUGUAUUUCUCAUGUUUCACCUAAGUUGUAAGAUAUUUUUGGCAGUGCAUUAAACCACAGAUGGUGUGUGAAACAUAAUUGCCCCGCUAAUUGUAUUCUAUGUUGUUUUUUGUAGAUGUACUAAUCUGAUAAAAGUAUUUGCGUAGCCUGAAUUUUGAUUGUUGUUGCUCUCAUUAGUAGUUGUUGUGUACAUGUGUAUCCUAUAUAUGGACAACAACACAUUUUUGUUAAUGAAUUGCAAACAUGGCUUUGCUUAAUGUGUGUGAUUUGUGUCACAUAUUUUACAUUGUUCUAUAUCCGAAUAACAGUGAAAUAAUCAUUAUCUUCAAUUUCAUAAAUUAUAAUUUGGCAAAGUUAAGAAAACCAUGAAAAAUCAGCUUCAGAUGGCCCCCAAAAAAGACAAAUGUAUUUCUCAUGUGUCCAGCUUUUGACAUCCUAAAAGAAGCCUUAUUAUACAUGCGUACAACAUAAAAAAAUGAACAAUACCUUUUUUAUUGACAUUCUUUUUGCAGUAUCUGUAACAAUGCCGUUCACUAAACAAUAGUGUAUCACAGCACAAAGCAGUACUAUUUGUAAAAAAAUUAUAUAUUAAUUGAUGUCUGGUUUUUAGCUCCACUGGCCAAAGGGCAGUGUCCUGUGUCAUGGUCCUAUGUCAUGGUCCUGUGUCCGUCGUGCGUGCAUGCGUCCGUGCGUUAACUUUUCCUUAAAACAUCUUCGUCUCCUAAACUACUGGUCCAAUUCUGAUAAAAUUUCUCAGGAAUGUUCCUAGGGUGAACCUCUUUCAAAUUUGUUCAAAUUAUGCCCCUGGGGUCAAAUUUGACCCUGCCCCGGGGGUCACUGCCUAUUUUGUGAAAACUUUCAAAAUCCUCUUGUCCAUAACCAUUGGGCCUAGGGCUAUCAAAUUUGGUAUGUAGAGACAUCUAAUAGUCCUCUACCAAAUUUGUUCAAAUUAUGCCCCUGGGGUCAAAUAUGACCCGCCCCGGGGUCACAAAAUUGAACAUAUGCUUAUAUAGGGUCUAUUUUGUGAAAACUUUACAAAUCUACUCGUCCAUAUCCAAAUUUUGUAUGUAGUGGCAUCUUAUAGUCCUCUACCAAUUUUGUUCAAAUUAUGCCCCUGGGGUCAAGUUUGACCCUGACCCCAGGGUCACAAAAUUGAACAUAUGCUUAUACAAGGCCUUUUUUGUAAAAAAUUAAAAAUCUUCUUGUCCAUAACAGUAUGACAUAGGGCUACCAAAUUUGGUAUGUAGUGACAUGUAAUAGUUCUCUACCAAGUUUGUUCAAAUUAUGCCCCUUGGGUCAAAUUUGAAACUGCCCCGGGGGUCACAAGACUAAACAUAUGCUUAUAAAGUGCUUAUUUUGUGAAAACUUUAAAAAUCUUUUGUCCAUAUCCAUUGGUCCUAGGGCUACCAAAUUUUGUAUGUAGUGACAUCUUAUAAACCUCUACCAAAUUUGUUCAAAUAAUGCCUCUGGGGUCAACUUUGACCCUGCCCCGGGGGUCACACAAUUUAAUAUACGCUUAUAAAGCGCCUAUUUUGUGAAAUCUUUAAAAAUCUUCUUGUCAAAAACCAUUUGGACUAUGACUACCAAAUUUGGUUUGCAGUAACAUCUUAUGGUCCUCAACCAAGUUUGUUCAAAUAAUGCCCUUUGGGUCAAAUUUGACCCUGACCCGUGGGUCACAAAAUUGAACAUUGUAUACGUUUAUAUCUUGCUUAUUUUGUGAAAACUUUUAAAAUAUUCUUGUCCUUAACUCUAGGACUUAGGGCUACCACAUUUUGUAUGUAGUGAGAUAUAGUAGUCCUCUACAAAGUUUGCUCAAAUUAUGCCUCUGGGGUUAAAGUUGACCCACCCAAGGUGGUCACAAAAGUGAACAUGUGCUUAAAUAGGGCCUAUAUUUAAGUAUUUGCACAUGCCGAGAAUAUUUUUUUCAGCCUUUUUUCAGCAGUGGAGCGAUACAGGGCCAUCAUGUCCCUCUUGUCUUUAAAUACACAUCACACAGUUCUAAAAAUAAUAAUUUUAAAAUAAUACAUAUGUUCAAUUUACAACCCACAACGUGGGUAACAGGUGGGUGGGGUAAUUUAAGAUGUUUAUUUGAACAUCAACAUUGUUUUUUCAUUUGUUACAUCUGAAAUAUUUUCAUAACAAUGUACAUUAUAAAUAUUUCUACGUGUAUCACAUUUCAGUUGAUAAUUUGAUUGUUAUAGAGCAGUUAUUAUAUAGAUAUGUUUUAAUUACUAUUACAAUAUUAGUCAUUAUAUUUGUUAAAUUAAGUCCAUAUUAAAAUGUCUGUAGCAAAAAAAAAUCCACGGUGACCUAUCAAUUUCUUUACUUCAUUUUAAUGCUAAGCUAGUUGCCUUUAAUUAUUGAGAACUUCAAAUGAAUAUGAAUAUUACAUCAACAGAAAUAUGUAUCUGUAUUGCAUGUUAUCUAUUUUGAACUGUGCAAUAAAAAAUUCAAAACAAACAAAAAACUAGUCAUACUUAUUACUCAUUAUUUUUUAUGAUUUCCAAUAUUU